GAGUCUUCUGCUCUUCCUCAACUACCAAAGCAGAAAAACAUCAGCGAAGCAGCAGGCCAUGCACCCCCCAAAAACUCCAUCUGGGGCUCUUCAUAGAAAAAGGAAAAUGGCAGCCUGGCCCUUCUCCAGGCUGUGGAAAGUCUCUGAUCCAAUUCUCUUCCAAAUGACCUUGAUCGCUGCUCUGUUGCCUGCUGUUCUUGGCAAUUGUGGUCCUCCACCCACUUUAUCAUUUGCUGCCCCGAUGGAUAUUACGUUGACUGAGACACGCUUCAAAACUGGAACUACUCUGAAAUACACCUGCCUCCCUGGCUACGUCAGAUCCCAUUCAACUCAGACGCUUACCUGUAAUUCUGAUGGCGAAUGGGUGUAUAACACCUUCUGUAUCUACAAACGAUGCAGACACCCAGGAGAGUUACGUAAUGGGCAAGUAGAGAUUAAGACAGAUUUAUCUUUUGGAUCACAAAUAGAAUUCAGCUGUUCAGAAGGAUUUUUCUUAAUUGGCUCAACCACUAGUCGUUGUGAAGUCCAAGAUAGAGGAGUUGGCUGGAGUCAUCCUCUCCCACAAUGUGAAAUUGUCAAGUGUAAGCCUCCUCCAGACAUCAGGAAUGGAAGGCACAGCGGUGAAGAAAAUUUCUACGCAUACGGCUUUUCUGUCACCUACAGCUGUGACCCCCGCUUCUCACUCUUGGGCCAUGCCUCCAUUUCUUGCACUGUGGAGAAUGAAACAAUAGGUGUUUGGAGACCAAGCCCUCCUACCUAAAUCACCUGUCGCAAGCCAGAUGUUUCACAUGGGGAAAUGGUCUCUGGAUUUGGACCCAUCUAUAAUUACAAAGACACUAUUGUGUUUAAGUGCCAAAAAGGUUUUGUUCUCAGAGGCAGCAGUGUAAUUCAUUGUGAUGCUGAUAGCAAAUGGAAUCCUUCUCCUCCUGCUUGUGAGCCCAUUGUAUUAAUUUACCAGACAUUCCACAUGCUUCCUGGGAAACAUAUCCUAGGCCGACAAAAGAGGAUGUGUAUGUUGUUGGGACUGUGUUAAGGUACCGCUGUCAUCCUGGCUACAAACCCACUACAGAUGAGCCUACGACUGUG
rnacentral:lncRNA from 1 species